AAGUACCCUGAGGAAAAGAAAUCAACAGAGAUUCCCUUAGUAGUGGCGAGCGAACGGGGACUAGCCCUUAAGCUUAUUUGAUUUUAGCGGAACGCUCUGGAAAGUGCGGCCAUAGUGGGUGAUAGCCCUGUACGCGAAAGGAUCUUAGAAGUGAAAUCGAGUAGGACGGAGCACGAGAAACUUGGUAUGAAUAAGGGGGGACCAUCCUCCAAGGCUAAAUAAUACUGACUGACCGAUAGUGAACUAGUACCGUGAGGGAAAGGCGAAAAGAACCC
rnacentral:rRNA from 1 species